rnacentral:rRNA from 1 species
UACGAAGGGGGCUAGCGUUGUUCGGAAUCACUGGGCGUAAAGGGCGUGUAGGCGGUUUAGCAAGUUGGAAGUGAAAGCCCAGGGCUCAACCCUGGAAUGGCUUUCAAGACUGCUUAACUUGAAUUCGGUAGAGGUCAGUGGAAUUUCCAGUGUAGAGGUGAAAUUCGUAGAUAUUGGAAAGAACACCGGUGGCGAAGGCGACUGACUGGACCGACAUUGACGCUGAGGCGCGAAAGCGUGGGGAU